AGUGAACGCUGGCGGUAGGCCUAACACAUGCAAGUCGAACGGCAGCACAGGAGAGCUUGCUCUCUGGGUGGCGAGUGGCGGACGGGUGAGGAAUACAUCGGAAUCUACUCUGUCGUGGGGAAUAACGUAGGGAAACUUACGCUAAUACCGCAUACGACCUACGGGUGAAAGCAGGGGACCUUCGGGCCUUGCGCGAUUGAAUGAGCCGAUGUCGGAUUAGCUAGUUGGCGGGGUAAAGGCCCACCAAGGCGACGGUCCGUAGCUGGUCUGAGAAGAUGAUCAGCCACACUGGAACUGAGACACGGUCCAGACUCCUACGGGAGGCAGCAGUGGGGAAUAUUGGACAAUGGGCGCAAGCCUGAUCCAGCCAUACCGCGUGGGUGAAGAAGGCCUUCGGGUUGUAAAGCCCUUUUGUUGGGAAAGAAAUCCAGCUGGCUAAUAACCGGUUGGGAUGACGGUACCCAAAGAAUAAGCACCGGCUAACUUCGUGCCAGCAGCAGCCGCCG
rnacentral:rRNA from 1 species